rnacentral:rRNA from 1 species
UUGUAAUCUGAAGAAGCGUCUUCUGUGUUGGACCGUGUACAAGUCUCUUGGAACAGGGCGUCAUAGAGGGUGAGAAUCCCGUCUUUGACACGGACUACCAAUGCUUUGUGAUGCGCUCUCAAA